UUCGGGGCGCUGACGAGUGGCGAACGGGUGAGUAACACGUGGAAACCUAUCCCGGGGCGGGGGACAACAGUUGGAAACGACUGCUAAUACCGCAUAAGCCCUACGGGGGAAAGAUUUAUCACCCUGGGAGGGGUCCGCGUUGGAUUAGCUAGUUGGUGGGGUAACGGCCUACCAAGGCGACGAUCCAUAGCUGGUCUGAGAGGAUGAUCAGCCACACUGGGACUGAGACACGGCCCAGACUCCUACGGGAGGCAGCAGUGGGGAAUAUUGCGCAAUGGGGGAAACCCUGACGCAGCGAUGCCGCGUGAGUGAAGAAGGCCUUCGGGUUGUAAAGCUCUUUCAGUAGGGACGAUUGUGACGGUACCUACAGAAGAAGCUCCGGCUAACUCCGUGCCAGCAGCCGCGGUAAUACGGAGGGGGCGAGCGUUGUUCGGAAUUACUGGGCGUAAAGGGCGCGUAGGCGGUUUGGCAAG
rnacentral:rRNA from 1 species